UACGGAGGAUGCAAGCGUUAUCCGGAAUGAUUGGGCGUAAAGGGUCCGCAGGUGGCAAUGUGUGUCUGCUGUCAAAGAAUGAGGCUUAACCUCAUCAAGGCAGUGGAAACUACAUAGCUAGAGUACGGUCGGGGUAGAAGGAAUUCCAGGUGUAGCGGUGAAAUGCGUAGAUAUCUGGAGGAACACCGGUGGCGAAGGCGGCAUCCUGGACCGACAUUGACGCUGAGGCGCGAAAGCCAGGGGAGCAAACGGG
rnacentral:rRNA from 1 species